ensembl:snoRNA
AACAUAAAAAAGCCAACUGGUUCCUGAUGAUAUAAACAAACCUUUGGAGCUAAAUCAGCAGUGUGACUAAUUUAGCCAUUGCUGUUAGUCACCUCAGAAAAGU